UACGUAGGGGGCAAGCGUUGUCCGGAAUCAUUGGGCGUAAAGAGCGUGUAGGCGGCCCGAUAAGUCCGCUGUGAAAGUCCAGGGCUCAACCCUGGGAUGCCGGUGGAUACUGUCGGGCUCGGAGUCCGGAAGAGGAGUGUGGAAUUCCUGGAUGUGAUGCGGUGGAAAUGCGCAGAUAUCAGGAGGAACACCAAUGCGAAGGCAGCACUCUGGGACGUGACUGACGCUGAGA
rnacentral:rRNA from 1 species